CUGUGAACACAGCAGGGUCUAGUAGGAAUGUGUUUGCUUACUGGAACUUAGGGGCAGGCAAUGGUUCUUGUUGUCUGAGAUGUAACUUGACAUCCUUUAUGGCACCAAUCUCAGAGCUUUCCCUUUGUAGGCGAUCCAGCUGUACUUGUAGGUCUCUUGGAGACCAGAGUACAUACAAUUGUCUGGCCUCAUGAGGUAUUUCUCAUGGCUCAGAGAGCAUGACUUCAAUGCAGUAUAAAGUUGACUUUGCAUCGACUUGCAUUGAUAAACAUUGAUUAAAAGGCCUCAUUUUAAAGUACUGUCCUGUUGUGGCAAAAUCUUGCUAGAAGUCCUGUGAAGCUGUCAAGAUCUGAUGAGUUGUAAGGAUUUUUGCACUGUUUAACAAAGAAAUAUCAUGGACCGUGAGGACUGAGUUGCAGUGUAAAUAUUUUGAAUUUGUGAUCAUUGGCUUUUGCACUUGAAACAAACAGAAGUGAUGUGUGAAGGAAAGAAACUUUUUUUUUUUCUAUUUUUUNNUUUUUCUGGUCUCAUUUAUGACUUAUUUAAAUUACCUACUGUUCAUAACUCAGCUGGGGGAGCUCAUGAGGGAAAAUUGUAGGAUGAAAGUAACUUCCCUCUGAACAAGAGAGAAUGUAGAUUUCAAUAAGAAAUGCUAAUCUAAAAGUGAGUAAUUUUCUUUUAAAAGCCAGGAAGAUAAAGAAACCAAGAACAAAUAAAACAGGUAACAGAGUUUAAAUGUCUUUCCAAAAAUUGCACAUUAUGAAGCUAUGAAAAAAACCUGGGAAUAAUUUCUUCAAUGAUUCGCUUUUUGUUGUUGUUGAAAGCAUCCACAGUUAGUCCCUAGUACACUUUUGAAAGGAAGGUAGAUGUCAUAUAGGAGAUAUCAAAAGGAGAUCAAUGAAAUGUAGUACAUUUUAGUCAGUUUUCCAGAAUGCUGAUGUAAUAUUGGGAACUUGUGUGUUUUCCCAUCUGUUUUUUUGUUUGUUUCUUUGUUUGCUUUUCCUGCUGUGAUGAAUACAAAUGGUUUUACCUGCAUAGCUGAUAGAAAAUUUACUUAGGAUUACAUAGUAGGUUUCAAACUUAUCAUCUCUGAAGAACCCUGUGAUCAUUUGAGAAAUAGCUGGCUGUUACUUUGAACUAUCUUUAAUAACCUGAUUUUCUUUUUAAAACAGAAGUAGGAA
rnacentral:lncRNA from 1 species